rnacentral:lncRNA from 10 species
UUGACCCCACCAAGCAGCCAAUGACUACAAAUAAGAGAAUCUUCUUGAAAUUCUAAUGACCUGCCAGCCUCAUUCACCGAAAGCAUCUCCUGUUUUGAUCAUCCUCUCCACCAUGCCCAUCCUAUGGACUAACGCGCCAGCAGGUGCUGGCCCAAUAUUCUGGCAGCCGCUGGCCAAGCCACAGGAGAUUUGACAUUCUUUUUCCUGCCCCCCACAGUCCCCAACAUUAACUUGACUAAAACACUCCUUUGCCUCAGUCUACCAGUCCAUAAAAUAAAAGCAU